rnacentral:rRNA from 1 species
CAAUAGCGUAUAUUAAAGUUGUUGCGGUUAAAAAGCUCGUAGUUGGAGUUCUGCCAGGUGCCGCCUGUCCGCCCCAGUGGUGAGUACGUGGCGCGCAUUUGGCCCUUUCAAGGGGAGCGUAUCUGCACUUUAUUGUGUGGUGCGGGAUCCUUGACUUUUACUUUGAGGAAAUAGGAGUGUUCCAAGCAGGCUCUCGUCGUGCACAGCUCAGCAUGGAAUAAUAGCAUUGGACCUCGAUUCUAAGCUGUUGGUUGCCAGAAGCGAGGUAAUGAUGAAGAGGGAUAGUUGGGGGCAUUCGUAUUUAACUGUCAGAGGUGAAAUUCUUGGAUUUGUUAAAGAUGGACUACUGCGAAAGCAUUUGCCAAGGAUGUUUUCAUUGA